rfam:Gossypium raimondii chromosome 2, whole genome shotgun sequence.
AAUCCAUGUAUUCAACAUUUCCAAAUUAACUCCUUAAAUCGUACCCAAGCUUCAUAGAGCGUUUCAUCCUCUAUUUUCCUAAAAGAUGUGAUGUUAUUUCUAAGUUU